rnacentral:lncRNA from 1 species
AAAUGAUGGUUUUUUUUUUUUUUUUUUUUUUUUUUUUUUUUUUUAGAGAUAAGUAAGAUGUUAUCUGUUUCGUUUAUUCUAUUUAGAAAUAAAUUUAAUUAGAAAUAUGAAUCAACUAGAAUUCGAACUUGAAAUUUCGGAUACUAACAAGCAAACUCUUUGUCACUUGCGCUAGAGACGGUCGGUGAUUUUCAAAAAAAUAUGGAUGAAAAAAAUUCAAGCAGUAGUU